ACGCUCUGCUAUUUGCAGAUUAGCUCAACUGAUGAAGUAUUCUAAAGUCACUUAUUUUGUGUGUGUGCUAAAAGUUUCUUCCAAAUAUUAGGGAGGGAGAACAUUCUUUGAUUUAAUGAUUUCAGUGUCCACAUCAUUCCCAUCACCAUUUAUUAAAUAGGGGAUCCUUUCCCCGUUUCCACAAGAGAGCUUCUUAGAGCUCCGCUGCCCCAGGAGGGCCACACAGAUGGCUGACAGUAGACUUGCACACCUGGAUGAGGAGAACACAGUGUGCAUGAACUGAAGACAAGACUUGUUUCAUUAAAGCCAAGAUGAAGGGGUGGCCAUGCCCGAGAACUCAGCAAUUGAUUAGACACCUUAGCAGGUGCCAGCAUAAGGCAGAGGGGAGCUGCCAAUGAGACCCCUCUCUAUUUUCCCCCCACCACUGCUAUGUUAGCCCCUGGGGA
rnacentral:lncRNA from 1 species